rnacentral:misc_RNA from 1 species
AAAGUCGUAACAAGGUUUCCGUAGGUGAACCUGCGGAAGGAUCAUUAAAGUGUUUCGGAGCCUGGCUCGGACAUCUCAUCUCGAGGUGUCGGUGUCCAGCGCCCCCACACGUGUUUACUCAACUUGGUUGCCUUGGUGAGCCUGCCCUUGUGGCUGCCGGGGAUGCCUCACGGUGUCCCGGGCUCGUGCUCACCAGUGGAACAUUUGAACUCUUCUGUGAAAAUAGUCAGUCUGAGCAUUAUGCAAAUUAAACAAAACUUUCAACAACGGAUCUCUUGGUUCCG